UUUGUGCGAUAAAUCAUUCAAGUUUCUGCCCUAUCAGCUUUGGAUGGUAGUGUAUUGGACUACCAUGGCAGUCACGGGUAACGGAGAAUUAGGGUUCGAUUCCGGAGAGGGAGCCUGAGAAACGGCUACCACAUCUACGGAAGGCAGCAGGAGCGAAAAUUGCCCAAUCCCGACACGGGGAGGCAGUGACGAGAAAUAACAACUCUUGGUUAUUCUAAGAAGUGUAAUGAGGAUAAUUUAAAACCCUUACCGAAAGCAAUUGGAGGGCAAGUCUGGUGCCAGCAGCCGCGGUAAUUCCAGCUCCAAUAGCGUAUAUUAAAGUUGUUGCAGUUAAAAAGCUCGUAGUUGAAGUUCUGGCUGCUUGACCCUCGAGCUCUGUAGCCGAGGGCUCAGCAGUCAUCCGCUUGCAAAUAUAUGUUCGCCUUUAACCGGGCGGCUAUAUGAGUAAGCAUUUUACCUUGAGAAAAACAGAGUGUUCCAGGCAGGUUUGUCCGGAAUGCAUUAGCAUGGAAUAAUAGAAUAUGACUGAAGUCGAUUUAUUGGUUUGAGGCUUUAGUAAUGAUUAAUAGGAACAGUCGGGGGCAUUGGUACUUGUCAGUCAGAGGUGAAAUUCUAGGAUUUGACAAAGACUAACAAAUGCGAAAGCAUUUGCCAAGGAUGUUUUCAUUAAUCAAGAACGAAAGUUAGGGGAUCAAAGACGAUCAGAUACCGUCCUAGUCUUAACUAUAAACUAUACCGACUCGGAUUCAGAUGAAUCAUAAAGUUCAUUUGGGACCGUAGGAGAAAUCAAAGUUUUUGGGUUCUGGGGGAAGUAUGGUCGCAAGGCUGAAACUUAAAGGAAUUGACGGUUUUGCACCACCAUGGAGUGGAGUCUGCGGCUUAAUUUGACCCAACACUGGGAAACUCAUCAGGGCAAGAAGAUUGUAGGAUUGACAGAUUGAGAGUUCUUUCUUGAUUGGUCUAGUGGUGGUGCAUGGCCGUUCUUAGUUGGUGGAGUGAUUUGUCUGGUUAAUUCCGUUAACGAACGAGACCUUAACCUGCUAACUAGUACACCGAUGACAAAUCGGUGAUACUUCUUAGAGGGACUAUGUGAUGUAAUCACAUGGAAGUUUGAGGCAAUAACAGGUCUGUGAUGCCCUUAGAUGUCCUGAGCUGCACGCGUACUACAAUGGUGCUUUCAUCGAGCUUUUCCUGAUCCGAAAGGAUUUGGGUAAUCUUUUUAGUGAGCACCGUGCUUGGGAUAGAUCUUUGUAAUUAUGGAUCUUGAACUAGGAAUUCCUAGUAAGCACGUGUCAUCAGCA
rnacentral:rRNA from 1 species